rnacentral:rRNA from 1 species
GACGAACGCUGGCGGCGUGCUUAACACAUGCAGGUCGAACGGAAAGGCCCUGCUUUUGUGGGGUGCUCGAGUGGCGAACGGGUGAGAAACACGUGAGUAACCUGCCCUUGACUUUGGGAUAACUUCAGGAAACUGGGGCUAAUACCGGAUAGGAGCUCCUGCUGCAUGGUGGGGGUUGGAAAGUUUCGGCGGUUGGGGAUGGACUCGCGGCUUAUCAGCUUGUUGGUGGGGUAGUGGCUUACCAAGGCUUUGACGGGUAGCCGGCCUGAGAGGGUGACCGGCCACAUUGGGACUGAGAUACGGCCCAGACUCCUACGGGAGGCAGCAGUGGGGAAUAUUGCACAAUGGGCGGAAGCCUGAUGCAGCAACGCCGCGUGCGGGAUGACGGCCUUCGGGUUGUAAACCGCUUUCGCCUGUGACGAAGCGUGAGUGACGGUAAUGGGUAAAGAAGCACCGGCUAACUACGUG